GCAGCUUAGCUGCUACAUCAGAAAGCGUCAAAGCGCCAGAUUCAGAAUUAUCCGCAUGGUGGCUUAGCCACUAAUUCAGAUCAGAGUACUUCCUUCUUCAUAGUAUCCCAACCUAUGUAUAUGCAAUGUACAAUGUCCACAUUUAUAGAGUACAGUCCAAUAUCAGAAAUAGCUAUCACAAUUACACUAUACAUAUGUCAAUCAUAGAACAUCAAAAGUUCUCAUACAAUCGAAUUCAGAUCAUUCAUACAUUGAGGAGGUUAAGAUUAGUGUCAGCCACACAAACGACCUCAAAAAAUCAAGAUUCAGACCUAAUUUACAAGCCACACAGCUUGGAGACACACCCGUGUCCUUGCCCAUAUGGUUCACAUGCCCGUGUCCUCUACCGUAUGGUUCCAAAACAUAAACAGUGAGUUACACGGCCUGGACACAUACCCAUGUCCUCUUCCCGUGUGUCUUACACGGUCUAGGAACACGCCCAUGUCAUUGGCCAUGUGGUCCUAAGGCUCAACCAAAAAGUUACACGGCCUAGACGCAUGCCCGUGUCUUUGGCUGUGUGACACCAAGAUAAUGAACAUUGAGUUACACGGCUUAGACACAUUCUUGUGUGAACCAUGCACUAAUAUGCCCACACACGGCCUGGGCAUACGCCCAUGUGACCUCACAGUGAUGAACAGUGAGUUACACGGCCUGGCACAUGGCCGUAUGGCUCAUAUAGCCUGGACACACGCCUGUGUGCCUAGCCAUAUGGCGUCAACAGUGACAUUUUCCAGUGAUCAGAAUUCAUAAAAUUUAAGGUUUUCAGCGCGUACCUGAAGUCAUUUUGAUGUCUGAAUGACGUAAGAGUAUCUCCGAACCUAAUAUGACCAUCCAAGAAUCAAUUUCACAAUCAUUCUUAAUUCAACACAAAGAUCAAUAUAUCAUCAAGGUUAUGUAGAAGAUUUCAACAAAAAUCCUAACUCAAUUUCGCACACCUAUCUCGUACGAACAAUGGAAACUGAACUAACGUGAUGGAGAAGUAUCUCUUGUGAGAACCUCGCCUAACAAAGUAACCAAUUGAGAGUUUAAACAUUGCAUUCAAGUAAAACGAGUUACAACCCCGUUUUAACAAAAUUAACAAUAACAAGACGAACUUGUAACAACGAAAGAAAUAACGUCUAAACUUACACAGUACUUG
rnacentral:lncRNA from 1 species